GUUGAGUAAUUGUUGAAGCUAAAAUAAUGUCUUGAGAGUGGUUUCUCUCUCCUUUUGCAUGCAUCUGAAACUUUUUACUUUAAAAACAAAACCACAGUAACAGAAACUCUGCUCACUGUUUCUAACUUCCCCCAAAGGGUCAUUUUCAUCUGACACUGAAGAUCACUCACGACAUGGGCACUAGCAGGCAACGACCGCGAGAAACACACAACACCACGAGCUUGCACCUGCCUGGAAAGCCCACGCGUCUCACGCUGAGAAGCCACACAAAGGCUUUUCCCUUGCUCGAGGACAAAACGGCUUGAACUCUGCUUUGCUUUUGUUUCACACUGAGUCUGCUCCCCUCUGCCAGAUGACCACAUCAAAAGUGAUUCCCCUGGGGAAAGCACAGGCAGAACACUCUGACAGAAUUCAAAGAAGAUCUGUACAUCUGAAACUAACACAACAUUGUAAACCAACCGAAGUCCAGUAUAAAACAGAAAUUUUUUUAAAAAAAGAAAAGAUACACGCCCCUCCAUGUUCAUAGCAGCACUAUUUACAA
ensembl:lncRNA